CCCCAUCCUUGUCGAGGGCGCACCCAUCUACAGGGUCCGUAGAAUUUUGGACAUGCGUCCUCGGGGCCGUGGUCACCAGUACCUCGUAGAUUGGGAGGGGUACGGUCCUGAGGAGAGGAGUUGGGUUCCCUCUCGGGACGUGCUGGACCGUGCGCUGAUCGAGGAUUUCCUCCGUUGCCGCCGGGUUUCCUCCUCGAGUGCGCCAGGAGGCGCUCGGUGAGUGGGGGGGUACUGUCAUGUACUGUCAUGUUGUGUCUUGUCUCUGUCCUUUCCCUUCCCUUCACCCUGUCUCCCUCUGCUGGUCGUUGUUAGGUUACCUUUUCUCCCCCGCUUUCCCCCAGCUGUCCCUUGUCUCCUCUAACUACCCAUUCACCCCGUUCCCCACCUGUUCCCUUUUUUCCCUCUGAUUAGGUCCCAAUAUCUCUCUCUGUUUCUGCUCCUGUCCUUGUCGGAUUCUUGUUUGUUUGUGUCAUUCAUGCCUGAACCAGACUGUCGUCAUGUUUGCUGUUACCUUGUCCUGUCCUGUCGGAAUCUGCCGGUCCAUCUGAGCCUACCUAUGUUUGGUAAUUAAAGAAGCUCUGUUUAAGUUGAUUCGCUUUUGGGUCCUCAUUCACGCACCGUAACAGCUCUAGGCUGUCGAGCUAGUCAGGUGGUCUUAGUUUGGCCAACGACAUUGACAUCGUUAUUCACAGAGGUUAUCAGUCUCUAUUAUCAGGCUGAACUUCAGCUCUGUCUCGGCUAUCCCUAAUCCCGCAUGCUGGAGCGUAAUCAUCGCCUGACAAUAAUUAGCAUAACGCAACGGACAUAAAUAUCCCUAGAAAAUAUUCCUAUUCAUGAAAAUCACAAAUGAAAUAUAUUGAGACACAGCUUAGCCUUUUGUUAAUCACCCUGUCAUCUCAGAUUUUCAAAAUAUGCUUUACAGCCAAAGCUAGACAAGCAUUUGUGUAAGUUUAUCAUAGGCUAGCAUAGCAUUAUGCCCUGCUAGCAGCAGGCAACCUUGUCACAAAUCAGAAAAGCAAUCAAAUUAAGUCAUUUACCUUUGAUGAACUUCGGAUGUUUUCACUCACGAGACUCCCAGGUAGAUAGCCAAAGUUCAUUUUUUCCCAAAAUAUUAUUUUUGUAGGCGAAAUAGCUCUGUUUGUUCUUCACGUUUGGCUGAGAAAUCGCCCGGAAAUUGCAGUCACGAAAACGGCAAAAAAUAUUCAAAAUUAGCUCCAUAAUAUCGACAGAAACAUGGCAAACGUUGUUUAUAAUCCAUCCUCAAGGUGUUUUUCUAAUAUCUAUUCGAUAAUAUAUACGUUGGGACAAUUAGUUUUUCAUUAGGACCGAUUGGCGUAAUGGCUACCUCUGUAUUUUACGUGAGAAUCUCUCUCGGAGCCACCAUGUGACCACUUACACAAUGUGUCCGCCUACGGCUAUUCUUCAACAUAAAUACGUAAAACUACGUCACAAUGCUGUAGACACCUUGGGGAAUACGUAGAAAGCGUAAGCUGGUUCAUAGCACACUCACAGUUCAAUAGAGACUCAUUGGAACGUAGCGCUUUCAAAACCUGGGGCACUUCCGGAUUGGAUUUUUCUCAGGCUUUCACCUGCAACAUCAGUUCUGUUAUACUCACAGACAAUAUCUUUACAGUUUUGGAAAUGUUAGAGUGUUUUCUAUCCAAAGCUGUCAAUCAUAUGCAUAUUCUAGCAUCUUGUCCU
rnacentral:lncRNA from 13 species